rnacentral:rRNA from 1 species
CCUACGGGAGGCAGCAGUGGGGAAUAUUGCACAAUGGUGGAAACACUGAUGCAGCGACGCCGCGUGAGCGAUGAAGUAUCUCGGUAUGUAAAGCUCUAUCAGCAGGGAAGCAAAUGCCGGUACCUGACUAAGAAGCCCCGUCUAACUACGUGCCAGCAGCCGCGGUAAUACGGAGGGGGCCAGCGUUAUCCGGAUUUACUGGGGGUAAAGGGAGCGUAGGCGGCUUGGCAAGCCAGACGUGAAAGGCUGGGGCUCAACCCCAGGACUGCAGUUGGAACUGUCAUGCUAGAGUGGCGGAGAGGCAGGCGGAAUUCGCAGUGUAGCGGUGAAAUGCGUAGAUAUUAGGAGGAACACCAGUGGCGAAGGCGGCAUGCUGGACGAUGACUGACGUUGAGGCUCGAAAGCGUGGGGAGCAAACAGGAUUAGAUACCCUUGUAGUC